rnacentral:rRNA from 1 species
GAUGAACGCUGGCGGCGUGCCUAAUACAUGCAAGUCGAGCGAACAGAUGAGGAGCUUGCUCCUCUGACGUUAGCGGCGGACGGGUGAGUAACACGUGGAUAACCUACCUAUAAGACUGGGAUAACUUCGGGAAACCGGAGCUAAUACCGGAUAAUAUAUUGAACCGCAUGGUUCAAUAGUGAAAGACGGUUUUGCUGUCACUUAUAGAUGGAUCCGCGCCGCAUUAGCUAGUUGGUAAGGUAACGGCUUACCAAGGCAACGAUGCGUAGCCGACCUGAGAGGGUGAUCGGCCACACUGGAACUGAGACACGGUCCAGACUCCUACGGGAGGCAGCAGUAGGGAAUCUUCCGCAAAGGGCGAAAGCCUGACGGAGCAACGCCGCGUGAGUGAUGAAGGUCUUCGGAUCGUAAAACUCUGUUAUUAGGGAAGAACAAAUGUGUAAGUAACUAUGCACGUCUUGACGGUACCUAAUCAGAAAGCUACGGCUAACUACGUG